rnacentral:rRNA from 1 species
UACGUAGGGGCGGAGCGUUGUUCCGGAAUGAUUGGGCGUAAAGGGCGCGUAGGCGGCUGUGCAAGUCAGUAAUGGAAGCCCAGCUUUUAAGGUUGGAAGUGCUAUUGAAACUGUGCAGCUUGAGUGCAGGAGAGGUUAUCGGAAUUCCCGGUGUAGCGGUGAAAUGCGUAGAGAUCGGGAGGAACACCAGUGGCGAAGGCGGGUGACUGGACUGCAACUGACGCUGAGGCGCGAAAGUGUGGGGAGCAAACAGGAUUAGAUACCCGU